rnacentral:lncRNA from 1 species
UUUCUUAUCUAGAUAAUAUCCAAAUUGCUCACAAAAAUCACCUAGUUCCUUUCUCUUGGUGAUCUUUUGUUUAUCUAGUUGUCUUUUUAAUUUCAUAUCAGUGCAUAAGGCUAAACCUUCAGCACAUAUUUCUGCAGAGAGUUCUCCGAGUGUAUAUGAUGAAUAGACAAUUAUUCCAUUAUGUUUAUUUCGCAGUCUUUCUUUGACCUUUUCUGCGAAUAAAUAUGGAAGACUAGCUAUAAAUUUUUCCUUCCAGUGGUCUAGCUGACAAUCUUCUCUUAUUAAUAACCUUGAAAAAAAUACAUCUUUAUACCAUUUAUAAUGAGAUAAGGUAGGACAGCGUAAAUUAGAGAGCAGAUCCUCUGAUCUUGCUGCUAGCAAUGAUGUACUGCCUACAAAGUGUAAAGUAAUGGUAUAUAUUAGUGUGUUAACAGCAUCACUUUCUGUGUAUAUUACUUCUUGAUUUUGUUCAUUUCUUCCUGUCCAUUGUCUUGUAUUAUUGAGAAUCCUUUGUUUUAUAUCAUCAUCCACAUAAAAGUCCCACCAUCCUCUUAACCAUCCUGUAAAUCCAUUAACUAUUGCUUUAGCAACCUCUUGAUCAUGGUUGCCUGCCAUUUUAUUUGCAGAGGCAUACAUUGUCAUAUGUCUCAUGACAUCUAAUAUUUUUAAUUCAGAUAACCCAUCAAUUUGCCAAUUAACUAUUGAUCGUCCUGAAUAGGAUACUGCCUGUUGUAUAGGAUCUUCUUCCAUUUGAAUAUCAACAGGGGUAAGUCUCUUAUGAUAAGGUAAGGUCGUUAUGGGUUUCCAAUAUUUUUCAUAGGCUAUCUUAUUGAUAGUGUCAGUUAUAGGAGUAGUAUCCAUAAAUGCUUUUUCUUGAUUUUGGAUAGUAUCUUCUAUAAUGGGUUCUUCUUCUGCAAGCAUCAUUGUUUCAUGCUCAGGUAUUACUAUGGCUUUUCCUUUGUCAGAAGACUCGGGUGAUUGAGGAAUAAUGGUUGGAGGAGGAAUAUUAAUUUGAGAUGAUGGUACUCCUUUAAUAUCUAACUGGGAUAGUUUUGAUAUUAAUUGAUCCAUAAGGGAUAGUUUUGAUAUUAAUUGAUCCAUAAGGGAUUUAUUAUUGUCUCCAAUGUGAAAUUUAGUUUUAUUUAAUUCUGGAGGAGGUUUAAAUAAUACUGAUUUUGGAAUAGAGGUAACAGAAGGAUGUUCUUUUGAUACAAUUCUUUCUAUUAUCUCUGUUUGCGUUCCUAAAGAUUGUAAAUAUAAAUUUGUAUAAUUGUUUUGUUCCACAAUAUGAGGAAUGUACUCUUGUUUUUUAUUUAACUCUUUAGGUAUAAUUUUAUAGGGUGUAGCUACUAUGUCAUAUAGUGAUUGAGGUUGUGUAGGCUCAUUCUUUUUUGGAAUAGCUGCCUUAAGUAUAAUACUCUUUUCAGGCGGAUGUAUACUAGCUGUUGUAGUACCAUCAGUACUAAUGUAUGUUUUUUCUUCUAUUGUUUGAAUUUUAUCAAAUGAGGGAAUAGUAAUAUUCUUUUCUAUACACAUUUCUUUUAACCAUUGAAAAACUCCUAUAUUUAACCUUUCUUGGUGUAAAAAUUUAUUAUAUUUUUUAUGUAUUAGUUCUAGUAAUCUUGGUUGAAAUCUUUUCAAAUACCAUUCUUUUAUAUUUUUAUUUUCUUCGGAUAAAUAAUCUUUUUUGAUAAAAUCUUUAUUUAUUUUUCUCUUUUUCCUUUCUAGCUUAGCUGCUAGAUAGGCUGCUAUGUACUCAUCUGAAUAUUGAUUAUUAUCAUAAAUAUCUUCUUCUAUUUGUAGAGUACAUACUUGAAAAUCUUGUAAUUCUUCAAUACUGGGUUCAGUAGUUUGUGUGGUAUGAGAUUUAAAUGUGUAUGUAGGAAUCACAACAUUAUCUGUGGUUCUUUGUGUUCCCCGAAAUUGAAUAUCUGAGUUGGAUGAAGAGGGUUGAAUAUGAAGAGGUAAUAUAAUAACAUUUGGAUUGUGAGAGUAAGAUUUUCUACUUGGUAUUUUAUUUUUAAUAUUUCUUCUCCUAUUAAUAUUAAUAUCAUCCUGUACUUGUGGUUGUUGAAAUUUAAUUUCAAUAUUACCAUCUGUAUGUUCUAUUAUUUAAUUAGGAAUAUGAUGUUGAGGAAUUUCUUGUGGUUGGUUGGCAUUCUGUAAUGCCCAUGAUUGGGGUAAUACUAUAUCUGACCAUUUUAUAGUUUUUGGGACAAUCAUAUUAGAUUUUUCUAUGUUUGUUUGAAACAAUAUUGUUUGAUCUUUUUGAUCAAGUUUUAAAGUAUUCGGACUUAAAGUAUUCAUGACUUUAUAAUAUAUUCGGUAUAUUAUGGCUAAAUUUUGUGAGCCAUGGAUCAUGUUGAAUCCAUGUGUUUUUAGAUUUAUUGUUAAAAUAUCUAAAAUAUUUGGGUCAGUCAAAGAAACAGAAAAAUUAGGAAAACAAUUAAAAUAUAUUGGACCACUACAAAGGCUGGAUUGNNNNNNNNNNNNNNNNNNNNUUUGUUAAUUUAUUUUACCUUAUUGUUUUUCAAUUACUUUCUUUGAGAGUAGGUGAAAGUCUUCUUGGUUUUGUUCCAUACUUGCUUGAGUAUGGAUGUCAGUCUAAGGAGGAGGAUUCUUUUUGAGUCUAUCAUAUAAAGGUUUAGAGUCUAAUGCAAGGUUAGGAUAGAAAUCACUAACAUAGUUCAAACAUCCUAAAAAUCUUUGAAGUUCAGUUUUAUCUAAAAUCUUAUCAGGGAAUUUAUCAGCAAAGGCAAUGGAUCUAUCUAUUGGAAUAAUAGUGCCAUGAUGUAUCAUAUGUCUUAAGAAUCUGAUAUUGGUUUUGAAAAGUGUAAUCUUUUUGGCUGAAACAACUAAGCCAGCAUGGUUUACUGCAUGGAUGAAUGUGUGAAUAUGUUUGAUGUGUUGGUCUAUGGAUUCUGAGAAGAUUAAUACAUCAUUAAUAUAAACUAUCAUGAAAUGGUAAUAAGCAUUGAAUACUUCAUUCAUUAUUUUCUGAAAUUCUGAUGGAGCAUUCUUCAAACCAAAAGGCAUCACAUUCCAUUCGAAUUGACCAAAUGGAACAUUAAAUGCAGUUUUAUAUUUAUCCUGUUCUUGGAUUUGUAUUUGCCAAUAUCCUGAUUUCAUAUCAAAUUUUGAAAAUAUACAUGCUUGAGCAACUCUAUCCAAUAAGUCUUUUUUAUUGGGAAUAGGGUAUCUUAUCCAUUUUAAAACUUUAUUUAAUGGUUUAUAAUUUAUCACAAGCAUUGUACCAAAUCCCUUGGAUUAUGAAAUGGGAUUAUACUAUAUCACCCAAUACCACAAAUGAUUAUACCUACAUCCCUCGUUUGGGAAAAACCAUAUCUGUUAAAUGGUGGGAUAUCUUCCAAAUGGAUCUCACCAAAGCCGCUCCAAAGAGAAUACCUCCAAAAGCACCUAAAUACCAGGAAAACCCAAAUAGUGCAAACACCUCUUUUGACUUUCCAACUUAUCUCCGAAAUAUGUUACAAACCAAUCCCCAUGCAUCCAAAGAGGAACUGGAAAAACAAAUGAAAGAAAUUUUUGCUGAAGUCGUAAGAAAGCCAACUUCUUCCGAAGAAACCGUACAGUCCUCUCCACUUCAUACCAAUAGGUAUCUCCAAUUAAGCCAAAAUGAUCCAGAAGAAACAGAUCCAGAAGAAACAGAUCCAGAAGAAUUCAGCCAAAGACCAUGACGACAUCCAUGACGGCACAAAAAGACAAACAGCAAUCAACAAUAAACGACGAAAUACUAUUCCAAGAUUCCAUCACCUACAUAUACGACAAAUGUGGUGGUCAUGUCACCGACAAAGAACACUGUGCUCCACUGAAGUAAUAAUGUAAUAUGGCCAAAAGUGCCACUAUACAAAGAUGCUUUUCUUUUCUUUUCUUUCUUUUUAUUUUUGUCUUCUUGCGUCAACUUUCUCUUGUCCUAUUUGAGGCGAAUCUCUUUAUGCCUCCACUCUCUCACUCUCUUGUCGUCUUAUACCGACGAAUCUCUUUAUGCCUCCACUCUCUCACUCUCUCUUGUCGUCUUGUACCGACAAAACUUUCAUAGUUUGUCGUUCUCUACUCUCCUCUUUAUUCCUUUCUUCAUGAGGAAGAAAUUCCUCUCUAUAAAAAGGGAGCAGACCCUCUUCAUUCGGCAGGGUCUCACUUCUCCUCCUCCUCUCUUCUAUUCCUUUGCUCAGAAACCCCAAGGGUCUCUCAUUCCCUUCUGACUCUUCCUCUUGCCUAAACCCUGCAACCUGAAACCUACCUGUACCUACCUGCAACCUGAAACCUACCUGUACCUACCUGCAACCUGUACCUACCUGUACUUACCUGCAACCUGAAACCUACCUGUACCUACCUGCAAUCUGUACCUACCUGUACCUAUCUGCAACCUGAAACCUACCUGUACCUACCUGGAACCUGUACCUACCUGCAACCUACCUACGUACUUAACUUGUAAUCUUCUGCAACCUGCAACCUACUUGCAACCUGCAACCUCCUGCUACCUGUACCUUACCUGUAACCUCUGCAACCUACCUCUGCAACCUUUCAAAUCUUUUCAGUUUUUGCAAUAAGAAUUUGGAGCUAUCCUCGCCCUCAUAGCUCGACAUAAUCAGGUUCUUUCUUACCUUACUUUGUUAAUUAUGUGUGAUUGUAAUAUCAACGAUUUACCUUCAUACUACCCACAUCACUGGAAGUUAUUUUCCAGUUACUGUCUGUGUACACAGUAAGUCUCCCUUUCUCUUCAGUCUGACCUCUCUCAGUUUGAUCUCUCUCUGAAAUAUACUCUUUUCUCUCUUCUCUUCUUUAUCUUGUAAUAUAUCUCUUUCUCUUUCUGUAAUAUAAAGUUCAUGUACAAAGCACAUGUUUGUAAUAUAAGUAUAUAUUUGAGUAUAUAUUUGAAUCAUGCAAUUUAAGAUUCUAUUUAAUAUUAAGAUCGGAGAAAAUAGUUAUGCUCAGUGGAUAGUAGUUGAUAUAUCACUAAUCCCUUUAUUAGGAAUAAUCUUGUUUUGCCUUAACUAUUAUAGAAUUUUACAAGCAAUAAUCACUUACAACGGUUUGUUGUUCACAUACCUGUUAUAAAACAAAUAAUUAUAUUCUGAAACUAAAAUAAACAAUAAAAAUAAGCAACAAGUGUUUCUUGUGGUUGGUUGGCAUUCUGUAAUGCCCAUGAUUGGGGUAAUACUAUAUCUGACCAUUUUAUAGUUUUUGGGACAAUCAUAUUAGAUUUUUCUAUGUUUGUUUGAAACAAUAUUGUUUGAUCUUUUUGAUCAAGUUUUAAAGUAUUCGGACUUAAAGUAUUCAUGACUUUAUAAUAUAUUGGGUAUAUUAUGGCUAAAUUUUCUGAGCCAUGGAUCAUGUUGAAUCCAUGUGUUUUUAGAUUUAUUGUUAAAAUAUCUAAAAUAUUUGGGUCAGUCAAAGAAACAGAAAAAUUAAGAAAACAAUUAAAAUAUAUUGGACCACUACAAAGGCUGGAUUGAACCAUGCCAAGUAGAGAGUCUGUGAAAAUAUUGUGUCUUGUAUCUCUUAGGCAUACAAGCACAGAAGUGUUCAACCCUCAGCGGGUCAAAGGUUUUACGGCUAUUUGAAUAAGGCCAAUGUGUAAAUAUUUGUAAUUAUUUUCUUUAUGUUUUUCAAUUACUUUCUUUGAGAGUAGGUGAAAGUCUUCUUGGUUUUGAGUUACUGAUAGACUUUUUUCUACAGUCUUGAUGGCAUAACCCAUCUUGAGUUUAAAUGAUCUUUUAUUAUAAACAUCAUGAAUUGGUACCUUAGGAAUAUUCCAGUUUUGAAUAUUUUCCUCAAUAUCAUUUAUAAUAAUUUGUUCUUUAUUUUUUACUCUAAGUUUUGAAGAUAUAGUUGCAUUUUACCAUAAGAUACUAAGUGAGAUUGACCACCAAGAAAGUUGGUCCGAGAGUUAAGGCAAGAGACAAGUGAAAGCCGAUAGCAAAAGUACCGCCAAGGCCAGGAAGAGCCGCUUAGGGAAAAAAGCUAAGGCCACUGAAUGUCCAGAUUGUCAUUAUCCGCAACCUACGGAUGGCUAAUCUCAUAAGGAAUCUUACAGGAAAAACUGUAGCUUCAUCUUCAACGAAAAUAAAGAACAAAUUAUUAUAAAUGAUAUUGAGGAAAAUAUUCAAAACUGGAACAUUCCUAAGGUACCAAUUCACGAUGUUUAUAAUAAAGGAUCAUUUAAACUCAAGAUGGGUUAUGCCAUCAGGACUGUAGAAGAAAGUCUAUCAGUAACUCAAAACCAAGAAGACUUUCACCUACUCUCAAAGAAAGUAAUUGAAAAACAUAAAGAAAAUAAUUACAAAUAUUUACACAUUGGCCUUAUUCAAAUAGCCGUAAAACCUUUGACCCGCUUAGGGUUGAACACUUCUGUGCUUGUAUGCCUAAGAGAUACAAGACAAUAUUUUCACAGACUCUCUACUUGGCAUGGUUGAAUCCAGCCUUUGUUUUUCAUUCCAGUGGUCUAGCUGACAAUCUUCUCUUAUUAAUAACCUUGAGAAAAAUACAUCUUUAUACCAUUUAUAAUGAGAUAAGGUAGGACAGCGUAAAUUAGAGAGCAGAUCUUCUGAUCUUGGUGCUAGCAUUGAUGUACUGCCUACAAAGUGUAAAGUAAUGGUAUAUAUUAGUGUGUUAACAGCAUCACUUUCUGUGUAUAUUACUUCUUGAUUUUGUUCAUUUCUUCCCGUCCAUUGUCUUGUAUUAUUGAGAAUCCUUUGUUUUGUAUCAUCAUCCACAUAAAAGUCCCACCAUCUUCUUAACCAUCCUGUAAAUCCAUUAACUAUUGCUUUAGCAACCUCUUGAUCAUGGUUGCUUGCCAUUUUAUUUGCAGAGGCAUACAUUGUCAUAUGUCUCAUGACAUCUAAUAUUUUUAAUUCAGAUAACCCAUCAAUUUGCUAAUUAACUAUUGAUUGUCUUGAAUAGGAUACUGCUUGUUGUAUAGGAUCUUCUUCCAUUUGGAUAUCAACAGGGGUAGGUCUCUUAUGAUAAGGUAAGGCCGUUAUGGGUUUCCAAUAUUUUCCAUAGGCUAUCUUAUUGAUGGUGUCAGUUAUAGGAGUAGUAUCUAUAAAUGCUUUUUCUUGAUUUUCGAUAGUAUCUUCUAUAAUGGGUUUUUCUUCUGCAAGCAUCAUUGUUUCAUGCUCAGGUAUUACUAUGGCUUUUCCUUUGUCAGAAGACUCGGGUGGUUGAGGAAUAAUGGUUGGAGGAGGAAUAUUAAUUUGAGAUGAUGGUACUCCUUUAAUAGCUAACUGGGGUAGUUUUGAUAUUAAUUGAUCCAUAAGGGAUUUAUUAUUGUCUCCAAUGUGAAAUUGAGUUUUAUUUAAUUCUAGAGGAGGUUUAAAUAAUACUGAUUUUGGAAUAGAGGUAACAGAAGGAUGUUCUUUU